GCCUAAAGCGUCCGUAGCCUGCUUUGUAAGUUUUCGGUUAAAUCCAUCAGCUCAACUGAUGGGCCGCCGAAAAAACUGCAAAGCUAGGGAGUGGGAGAGGUAGACGGUACUCGAUAGGAAGGGGUAAAAUCCUUUGAUCUAUUGAUGACCCCCUGUGGCGAAGGCGGUCUACCAGAACACGUUCGACGGUGAGGGAUGAAAGCUGGGGGAGCAAACCGGAUUAGAUACCCGGGUAGUCCCAGCCGUAAACGAUGCAGACUCGGUGAUGCGCUGGCUUGUGGCCAGUGCAGUGCCGCAGGGAAGCCGUUAAGUUUGCCGCCUGGGAAGUACGUACGCAAGUAUGAAACUUAAAGGAAUUGGCGGGGGAGCACCACAAGGGGUGAAGCCUGCGGUUCAAUUGGAGUCAACGCCAGAAAUCUUACCCGAAGAGACAGCAGAAUGAAGGUCAAGCUGGAGACUUUACCAGACAAGCUGAGAAGUGGUGCAUGGCCGUCGCCAGCUCGUGCCGUGAGAUGUCCUGUUAAGUCAGGUAACGAGCGAGAUCCCUGCCUCUAGUUGCCACCAUUACUCUCAGGAGUAGUGGGGCGAAUUAGCGGGACCGCCGCAGUUAAUGCGGAGGAAGGAAGGGGCCACGACAGGUCAGUAUGCCCCGAA
rnacentral:rRNA from 1 species